CGUCAAGGGAUGGGAAUCGAACCCACGACCUUCCGCUUACCGGGCAGAUGCCAUGACCACUAGGCCCCAUGAC